rnacentral:rRNA from 1 species
CGUAGGGGGCGAGCGUUGUCCGGAUUCAUUGGGCGUAAAGAGCUCGUAGGCGGCUUACUAAGUCGAGUGUGAAACCUCCAGGCUCAACCUGGAGCCUGCACUUGAUACUGGUAUGGCUUGAGUCCGGUAGGGGACCACGGAAUUCCUGGUGUAGCGGUGAAAUGCGCAGAUAUCAGGAGGAACACCGGUGGCGAAGGCGGUGGUCUGGGCCGGCACUGACGCUGAGGAGCGAAAGCGUGGGGAGCGAACAGGAUUAGAUACCCUGGUAGUCCACGCCGUAAACGUUGGGCACUAGGUGUGGGGCCUUAUCAACGGGUUCCGUGCCGCAGCUAACGCAUUAAGUGCCCCGCCUGGGGAGUACGGCCGCAAGGCUA